AAAUAAUAAGGGUAUUUUGGUCAGUUUGCUGAAAAAGCGGACCGAAUCUGCAAAAAUGAAAAAGGUGGCCCGAUUUUGCAAAAGCUCAAAAUAAGUAAAUUUUUUAUGCAAAAAGGCCUUUUAUUUUUAUAUGUUUUAUUGUUAAUUUUUAAAUUAGUAUAUUAAAGGAUGAAAAGAAUAACAACAGUUGAUUUUUUAUUAUAUUUUUUAUCUUUUGCUUUUCUGGAAU
rnacentral:lncRNA from 1 species